ACCCGCUGAACUUAAGCAUAUCAAUAAGCGGAGGAAAAGAAACCAACAGGGAUUGCCCUAGUAACGGCGAGUGAAGCGGCAACAGCUCAAAUUUGAAAUCUGGCGUCUUUGGCGUCCGAGUUGUAAUUUGCAGAGGGCGCUUUGGCAUUGGCAGCGGUCCAAGUUCCUUGGAACAGGACGUCACAGAGGGUGAGAAUCCCGUACGUGGUCGCUAGCCUUUACCGUGUAAAGCCCCUUCGACGAGUCGAGUUGUUUGGGAAUGCAGCUCUAAAUGAGAGGUAAAUUUCUUCUAAAGCUAAAUACUGGCCAGAGACCGAUAGCGCACAAGUAGAGUGAUCGAAAGAUGAAAAGCACUUUGGAAAGAGAGUUAAAAAGCACGUGAAAUUGUUGAAAGGGAAGCGCUUGCAGCCAGACUUGCCUGUAGUUGCUCAUCCGGGUUUCUACCCGGUGCACUCUUCUAUAGGCAGGCCAGCAUCAGUUUGGGCGGUUGGAUAAAGGUCUCUGUCAUGUACCUCUCUUCGGGGAGAACUUAUAGGGGAGACGACAUGCAACCAGCCUGGACUGAGGUCCGCGCAUCUGCUAGGAUGCUGGCGUAAUGGCUGU
rnacentral:rRNA from 1 species